UUGUAUGACUCUCGGCAAUGGAUAUCUUGGCUCUUGCAUCGAUGAAGAGCGCAGCGAAAUGCGAUACGUGGUGUGAAUUGCAGAAUCCCGUGAACCAUCGAGUUUUUGAACGCAAGUUGCGCCCGAGGCCAAUUGGCUAAGGGCACGUCCGCUU
rnacentral:rRNA from 1 species